rnacentral:lncRNA from 1 species
UGCUCCAUUUAAAGACAUGAAAUGAACUACAGCCAGGAAGGUGAUAGAUGAUAUAAUAAGCCACCUCUGAACCUACACCCCGUCUCUUCACGGUUUAGACUUACUAAAAUAAAUACAAGGUGAUUUUCAUCUUCAGGUAGAGUGAAGCCUUUUAAUUAAGGCGUCACAGGUGCAGCUAUUCUACCUUAAUGAAAUGGGUAGUGAUUUUCCCACCAUUAUUUAUUUCGGUGAUAAUAUGCUGCAUAUUCAAGUCUCUUGUAGUUAUUUUCACCCAAAGUAGUUGACAAUUUGAUGCUUCUGGUGAUGUUUAUGGCUUCAUUUUAUGUAAUUUUUUAAGUAAGUUCCACUAGAAACAGUUCAUCUUAUACCUUCAAAACUGUUACCUGUUCUUUAAAAAACAAAGUUGCUUGUUACUUGUUCUUUGUGUUUUAGGUGCAGCUCAGUGGAAGAUGAUGACAACCAGAAGACAUGAGCUAAGGGUAAGGGACUGUUCUGAAGAACCUUUCCAUUUAGUGAUCAAGAUAUGGAAGCUGAUUUCUGAAAAUGCUCAGUGUGUACUCUAAUUAUUUAUGGUACCAUUUGAAUUGUAACUUGCAUUUUAGCAGUGCAUGUUUCUAAUUGACUUACUGGGAAACUGAAUAAAAUAUGCC